GAUGAACGCUGGCGGCGUGCCUAAUACAUGCAAGUCGAGCGAACAGAUGAGGAGCUUGCUCCUCUGACGUUAGCGGCGGACGGGUGAGUAACACGUGGAUAACCUACCUAUAAGACUGGGAUAACUUCGGGAAACCGGAGCUAAUACCGGAUAAUAUAUUGAACCGCAUGGUUCACUAGUGAAAGACGGUUUUGCUGUCACUUAUAGAUGGAUCCGCGCCGCAUUAGCUAGUUGGUAAGGUAACGGCUUACCAAGGCAACGAUGCGUAGCCGACCUGAGCGGGUGAUCGGCCACACUGGAACUGAGACACGGUCCAGACUCCUACGGGAGGCAGCAGUAGGGAAUCUUCCGCAAUGGGCGAAAGCCUGACGGAGCAACGCCGCGGGAGUGAUGAAGGUCUUCGGAUCGGAAAACUCUGUUAGUAGGGAAGAACAAAUGUGUAAGUAACUGUGCACGUCUUGACGGUACCUAAUCAGAAAGCCACGGCUAACUACGUG
rnacentral:rRNA from 1 species